rnacentral:rRNA from 1 species
UAGAGGUGUGGGUGAGAAGUCAAAAGUGACAAACCUUGUGUGUUAUGUGUAAGGCGGAAUCGUCGCGUUACCGCUGGUGGUGGUACAGGGAGAGGAGCUGGAAGCGGCCGUUCAGCCACUUCUUGCACCGAAGUAGUCGAGAGAAACCACUCCGGGCACAGUGAUACGCGUUCUGGCGACGUUUCCGGUUCGUCCAAAGUAGUCCGUCGGGUACCAUGCCACGGCUGGCACACGAGAUGGAGCCGGGCGAAAGGCCGCUGGGAGGCUCGAUGAACUGGCCGCUCAAGGGGCCGCUGAUGCCCACCCUGUGGCGCCCCGAGAGCCGGCUGGGGCUCUGGAAACGGUUCUUGGCCCUCGAGCUCCACUAGGUGACGGCCACCCGGUACGAGCCACGCGAGCCUACGCAGAAGGGGCUCGAAGAACGUGCGUUACCACAAUUCAAGCCACUCCGGCACACCAAGUUCCGGCCGAGGGUUUAGAAGUCGCUCCCACCGGAGCUGAUGGACCCGUUGGGGUCGGAGCACGUACGUGUCUCGUAGGAACGAUAAACCCGUACGGUUCAGCACGAGUACCCACGGCAACUCCCCAUGGCGCAACGGCCCCCGGGUGAACCACUCUAUCAGCUGGGUGAGAUGGGACCACCGUCGAAGCUGGGCAACCCGGACCGACUACUGGGGCUCCGUAAACGUCUCGAGUUCCACUUCCUUCAGUUCUUGCCGGCGGAGCGGUACAAGAGAUACAAACCGAAGAAGCACGUCCGGUAACAGUGGCCAUUCCCGGGUGAGCUCUUGGAACGACUGGUGGAGAGGCUGGGGCAGUUGUUGUUGCGUACCCGCAAACGGUGUUUGAAACAAGGGCCGUUCACUCCGCAACCGCGAGCGAUCGACGCUCAACAUGGGUAGUUCCUUUGACGCCACUUGACGUGUGUAUUAUACACCAAGUUUAACAUUGUAGUACCACAUUUAAUGUUCCUAGCAACCCCUUUACCAAACUAG